UACAGAGGGUGCAAGCGUUGUUCGGAAUACUGGCGUAAGCGCGCGCAGGCGGAUCCUGUAAGUCUGGAGUGAAAUCUCACCGCUCAACGGUGAGGCUGCUUUGGAUACUGCGGAUCUGGAGACCGGUAGAGGCUGGUAGAAUUGCAGGGUGUAGCGGUGGAAUGCGUAGAGAUCUGCAAGAAUACCCGUGGCGAAGGCGGCCAGCUGGGCCGGGUUCUGACGCUGAGCGCGAAAGCGGUGGG
rnacentral:rRNA from 1 species